UACGAAGGGGACUAGCGUUGUUCGGAAUCACUGGGCGUAAAGCGCACGUAGGCGGAUUUGUAAGUCAGGGGUGAAAUCCCGGGGCUCAACCUCGGAACUGCCUUUGAUACUGCGAAUCUUGAGUCCGAUAGAGGUGGGUGGAAUUCCUAGUGUAGAGGUGAAAAUUCGUAGAUAUUAGGAAGAACACCGGUGGCGAAGGCGGCCCACUGGAUCGGUACUGACGCUGAGGUGCGAAAGCGUGGGGAGCAAACAGG
rnacentral:rRNA from 1 species